CGAUAAAGGCAAAAUGCGUGAAAGCGCAUGACGCAAAACCUCCGGUCUAAGUGGUGAAACCAUAAGAUAGCGGGGCUUCCA
rnacentral:ncRNA from 1 species